UACGUAGGGGCCGAGCGUUGUCCGGAGUUACUGGGCGUAAAGCGCGCGCAGGCGGCUCGUCAAGCCUGACGUGAAAGCCCCCGGCUCAACCGGGGAGGGUCGUCGGGGACUGGCGGGCUUGAGGUCGGCAGGGGUUGGUGGAAUUCCCGGUGUAGUGGUGAAAUACGUAGAGAUUGGGAAGAACACCAGUGGCGAAGGCGGCUAUCUGGACGGUUUCUGACGCUAAGACGCGAAAGCGUGGGGAGCAAACAGG
rnacentral:rRNA from 1 species